AAGACCUUGCGCUUUUGGAGCGGCCGAUGUCUGAUUAGCUUGUUGGUAAGGUAAAAGCUUACCAAGGCUUCGAUCAGUAGCUGGUCUGAGAGGACGGCCAGCCACACUGGGACUGAGACACGGCCCAGACUCCUACGGGAGGCAGCAGUGGGGAAUUUUGGACAAUGGGGGAAACCCUGAUCCAGCCAUGCCGCGUGAGUGAAGAAGGCCUUCGGGUUGUAAAGCUCUUUCAGUUGGGAAGAAAAGGUUACGGUUAAUACCUGUAACUCAUGACGGUACCGACAGAAGAAGCACCGGCUAACUACGUGCCAGCAGCCGCGGUAAUACGUAGGGUGCGAGCGUUAAUCGGAAUUACUGGGCGUAAAGCGUGCGCAGGCGGUUUUGUAAGUCAGAUGUGAAAUCCCCGGGCUUAACCUGGGAACU
rnacentral:rRNA from 1 species